CGUAGGGUGCGAGCGUUGUCCGGAAUUAUUGGGCGUAAAGAGCUUGUAGGCGGUUUGUCGCGUCUGCUGUGAAAUUCCGGGGCUCAACCCCGGGCUUGCAGUGGGUACGGGCAGGCUAGAGUGUGGUAGGGGAGACUGGAAUUCCUGGUGUAGCGGUGAAAUGCGCAGAUAUCAGGAGGAACACCGAUGGCGAAGGCAGGUCUCUGGGCCACUACUGACGCUGAGAAGCGAAAGCAUGGGGGAGCGAACAGGAUU
rnacentral:rRNA from 1 species